UUACCACAUGUCACUCCAAAAAUGACAGCUAGGAGGGUUCGUUCAAGGCAUCCCCAAAGAAAAGGCCCAAAGGAGGCUAUUAAUUGGUCACAGCAGACCUUUCCCUGGCUCACAUGUUAAUAUAACUAAAUUUGGGGCCUCUGGUGCAUGGGGUCUUAAAUGCCAAGAGUUGGUUUUUACAAUAUUUUAAAGACGAGUGUGGAAAAAGGGGCGCUACCCACCCUCCUGUUAAAGGCAAAGCAGAAAUCUUUGGUGAAUAAAAAGAAGAAAAUCUACUUUUGAUUAGUCUGUUUGGCAAUUUUGGGAGAAAGAAAGCCCACAAUAGAAACAGCAGCUUCAUUCCAAGAGGACAAAGGCAAAAUAACCAUCUCUUCAUUUAGAAACAAGGAGGUUCAACCAUUCCAACAUCUGGAUUUUCUUUUAAAAAGUGGAAUUUGCAUGAAUUCUCUUCAGCUGAAUCAUCUGUGCAAUAUAACCUGCCACAUUUAACAUCCCUGAAAAAGAAACAGUCAAUUCCUUCUAAUUAACAAAGUGGAAUAAGAAGAUGUCUGUUUCUUUGCUCAUUCACAAAUAUUUAAGUUAAAAAAUAAAAAAAGAGAGAGAUGGAGAAUCAGAAGCUUGCUCAGCCUCAAAAUGAACUGGUUUGCCUUUAACAGGUAAAUGAAUAAUCUCACGAAGUUUUUCAAGGCUUUGGGGAAAAUUAGAUAAAUGCAGUUUCUCUAUCUCCAACUAACUCACAUGGUUUCCCUGUUUAUGAAGGUGAAGAUAAUUUGAGUCAAGAUUCUUAUCAUCAGAGUAGUAAUAUUCUGGAUCGUGUAACUCUAGGUAACCCUGACUACAGCAUGUAUCUGUAUGUUAGAAUAUCUGGCAUUUAUUGGGUUAAGUGCUGUCUUCUUAAGAGAUGGCUUAUGGGAAAUGUAGUUUUAGCUAGUUAGCUAUCUCAUGUUAACAGAUCAGUAGGAGGAGGAGCCUCUGAGCUCUUCUCAGGACAUACUGGCUAUGUGCCCAGUUUGGAAUGCCUUUGUUCAUCCAGCCUCAUGUCUCCUAGUCACACGGUUUGGAGCUCCUAUGCCAAUAUGUGAUGCUUAUGCAGAAAUCCAUUAUCAAAUUAUCUAUGGAAAUGAACAGAGACAUAUUAUCCAGAAGCAACCAACAUAAUUGCAAGUAAUUCCUCUGAAUAAAUAUAUUUCUGUUAUGCAA